rnacentral:tRNA from 1 species
GGGCGGGUGGUGAAAUGGCAGACACGCCAGCCUUAGGAGCUGGUGCCGCAAGGCAUGGAGGUUCGAGUCCUCUCCCGCCCA